rnacentral:lncRNA from 1 species
CAAUAAGAUACUUUAAUCUGCAUUUUUCAUUAGCACAUAGUUUUUAUUACAAAGAUUUCUAAAUUUAUGAGUAUUUUGCCUUAAUGUACAUAUGUCCAUAAUGUGUGUCUCUGGUGAUCAUGGGGCCAGAGAAGGGAGCAUCAGAAUCCCUGGAGCUGGCGUUAGAUGGUGGUGAAGCCCCAGUGUGUGCUGAUGGAAGCCCCAGUGUGUGCUGGGACCCAGACCUGGGUCCUCUGCAAGAGCUCUCAACCCGAGCCAUCUCUCUAGCCCCGUCACAGAAACUUCUAAAGUGUCCUUUAAUUGCCCUUGUUUUUCCUAAUCAUAGUACUUAAAACCAUAGAUAUUCCUGUAUUACUGGGUUCUCCAUACACCUCUGAAUAUAUAAAUAGCUUACUAACUUCUCAUUGUAUCUACUCAGAUCUGUAAGUAAGAAGCCAAUUUAUUGUGCAAAUAACCUAUGAUUUGAAUAUAGGUAUUUCAAUAAACCAGGCUUCGUGGUUUAUAUGAACCUCCAUAAAACAUGCAAAGUCAA